CCUACGGGCGGCAGCAGUAGGGAAUAUUGCGCAAUGGGGGAAACCCUGAAGCAGCAACGCCGCGUGGAGGCUGAAGGUUUUAGGAUUGUAAACUCCUGUUAGGAGGGAAGAUAAUGCCGGUAUCUCACCAGUAAUCACCGGCUAACUCCGUGCCAGCAGCCGCGGUAAUACGGAGGGUGCAAGCGUUACUCGGAAUCACUGGGCGUAAAGGGUGCGCAGGCGGGCUUGUAAGUCAGAUGUGAAAUCCUUUAGCUUAACUACAGAACUGCAUUUGAAACUAGGAGUCUAGAGUGUGGGAGAGGUAGGUGGAAUUCUUGGUGUAGGGGUAAAAUCCGUAGAUAUCAAGAGGAAUA
rnacentral:rRNA from 1 species